ensembl:lncRNA
GGUGGGUAGAGAGGAGAGUAGGAGAGAGAGGGAGAGGGAGAGAGACAAUGGGGGGAGGGAGCAGAGAGAGACGAGCGGAGGGGGUGUCAGCGGAGGCUGGGUUUUCAGCAAUCCCCCUGAACGGAGGGCUGCUUGUGCUGUGGCCACGGCGACACCAAGCGAGGGAUGAAAUGCUGAACGCGGGAGACGUCCGACCGCGGUGAGAACAAAAGGAGGCGCCGAGCGUUUGAACCCGACAGCUGGAGCUGACAGUAGCCAGGAAUCUACGAGGGGACUACAUUUCGCGCUGGAAGUGCGUUUGCGCGUGUUUGUGGCGUGUGUGUGUGUAAACGCGCAUCAGAGGAGCACUCCGCAUCACAACGCUCCCCCCAGCACCCCACUCCCCCUCCGUUUCUCUUGAUUGCGAGAUCCCUUUCGCUCAGAAGGACCAGGGACGUUUUGCUCCGCUGACAGCUCCACCUCCACCCCCCCACCCUCCUGUACCCACACGUCCGGCGAGCCCCCCCCAAGAGGCCAGGCGUUUCAGCAGAGGACCCCGAGAGAAAAGCAUGCUGGAUGAUGCCGCUCCGCACGCUAAACGCCUCAGGAUAAGUGCCACCACUGGCGGUUCAGGAAAGCACCAAGACCAUGGGCACUACCGCCAUAACCCUUGAAGAGGUGCGGGCACUGGAGGGCAAGGAAGAGCAGGAGGAGUCGAUCUUGGCCUUGCUGGGCAUCAUCUGCACAUUCCUCAACCUGUUUGUGAUCGUCUUCGUUUACAUCUACACCACACUGUGAGGCGGAGGCCAAGGGUAGAGACCAGAGACUCGCCAAAAGACCACUUGGAGGGAAGGCUCAGAGACCAAGCUUUUGAGGGAACACGCUUCACACUAUGAACACCUCUGCAAACGGCAGCAGGCAGGGAUUAUACUGCUUGCCCCAGGAUUCAGAUGGAGUCGGGGAGGGCAUGUUGUUCUGCCACAGACGGGACUACGAUGAGAGAUAACGAUUAGCCGGAGGAGGAGGUGGUGCUCGUGGGGGCUACAUUAUGGCCAGCGCAAGAGAGAUGGCGUGGGAAACCGUGCCUGGGAGGAACUCCGUUAUGGCCAGAGAAGGACCUUCAACACAUAGAAGGAUACUGAAGUGCUGGGAGCGUCUCGUCGACAUGCAGUACACGUGGACCUUAUGGACAAAUACAAAGGCCAUACAGUUGGCCCCUGUGAACCUCAAAUGUGUUUUCUACUGGCAUGUCCAGCUACUUUUGUUGCCCGGUGAAACACAGGGCUCAUGAGUCCCUCUCCAUCUAGGGGCCUAUCAGAGAGAACGAGCUGUCGGGCAACAAAUUCCAUCUGAUCUCUUGAGGGGCUGCAAUUUUAUAGCUCUAAGGCUGCUGAUUAUUCAGCGAUAUGUGGCUGGGAAGGUUUGAUAAGCAGAGUUACCGGCCAUCAGAGAGAGACACUGAUGCAGACAGAGAAUACAAGGAAUGAAUAAGUACAUGGUAUAUAUUUAUAGGCUAUAGAUAUGUUAACUAAAAGGCUGUCCAACACACGUUCCCUGUGGAAUCUGAAGAGUAUGAAACUAUAGCCAACAUUAAUCACAGUUCAGAUGUGCACUUGCUACCGUUUGGACUUGGGUGAGGAGGAAGGACGUUCAGUACACCAGUGAAUUUAUGAAAAUAAGAUGGCGCUUAACAUCCUAAGUCAUUGGAAGAACUAAUGAAUGAAUGAAAGGUAUUUUUUAUAAAUAAAUGAAAGGUUGAGUUGGUGAUCUCAGAGUGACAAAGCAACUAACAGUUCCCAACAAAAGCGGAUUUGCUCAAGCUGUCCAGACAAAGCUAUUCCUACUGUAUCUCUCAAUCUUUUUUGGGGUUGUUUGGGGAAAAUCUCUUUUUGAUGUCAUCGAUUCACAUUGAUUUAAGAGCAGUGUUGGCAAUCCUUUUCUGUGUAUUAAUAUCAAACUCUAAAGCUUUUAUAAAUAUAUAAAACUCUAGAUGUUAUGUGCAAAUUUUGACAUUGAUCAAUAAAAUCCAGAGUAUAUCAAUAAAAAUGUCCUUGCUCAUGUUUGUAAGAUCAACUCAAUAAAUAUGUGGAAAAGACUGUCAGGGACAGCAGUGAUAAAGGUGUAUUAGACAACA